GACGAACGCUGGCGGCGUGCUUAACACAUGCAAGUCGAACGGGCCCGCUCUCUUUUUUGGGGGUGGGUUGAGUGGCGAACGGGUGAGUAUCACGUGAGUAACCUGCCCCCUGCUCCUGGAUAACUGCUUGAAAGGGCGGCUAAUACGGGGUGUGCCGGCUGGUCCGCAUGGGCCUGGUCGGGAUAGUUUCAUCUUCGGGUGUUUCGGUGGGGGAUGGGCUCGCGGCCUAUCAGCUUGUUGGUGGGGUGAUGGCCCACCAAGGCGGUGACGGGUAGCCGGCCUGGGAGGGUGGGCGGCCACGCUGGGACUGAGACACGGCCCAGCCUCCUGCGGGAGGCAGCGGUGGGGGGUAUUGCACGAUGGGCGGAAGCCUGAUGCAGCGACGUCGCGUGAGGGAUGGAGGCCUUCGGGUUGUGAACCUCUUUCUCCGGUGGUGAAGGCCCUGUCCGUUGCGGCGGGGUUGACGGUAGCCGGGUAUGAAGCGCCGGCUAACUACGUG
rnacentral:rRNA from 1 species